UUACCAGUCAAGAUUAACCAUCAUAAACUCACUCUUAGUCACCAGGACGCCUAACCGCACCACCUUAUGCCAAGCUUCGUUUUCAAGUAAACACAAGGUCGUUUCAUCCAAUGUGAUAAAAACAUCUUAUAUACAACUGAAAAUGCACAAUUCUUUCCCCCCAAAUAGAUGUCAAAGUUCAUUGAGGAAUUCUUAGUCUUUUUGCAUUCCAUAACUUAAAUACAAUGAUAUAGAUUUACAACACUAACCUACUGAUGUUAUCUAGAAUCAUGUUACAGUCUGCAGUAAAGAAAGAGGGAAAGAAAUCCAAACUAUCCAUUUUUGUGUAUGUGAAUACAAACAUUUUUAACAAAACAGAACAUAAUUGCUGUGGCAAUUGCAAUCCUUACUUCUGUAACUGGUCACGUGGCCUUCACUUGGGUUCUUCUACUACUUACUUCAUAUUCCCGCGACCAUCAGUAAACACCUCAGAGGGUCUUAGAUCUUUGCCGGGAAAAGUGACCAAAUCUUGGUUGCUGAAGAUAAUGGACUACUUAUCAUCCUGUUUAAUUAGGCUCCAUACUUUCCCAUUAACUUUAAUCAGAGGAUGUAGUAGCACCAAGAGGUGCCCUGAAGGGUCUCUGCUUUCUGUACACACACACACACACACACACACACACACACACACACUUCCUUACCUCUAUUGUGGAGAAGCAGUCUAAUUUCCUCCUGGUAGUCUGGACCAACCACCCCUGCCCAAACUAACUUCUUUUAUUAGCCUAUUGAUUUAAGGACAUCAGGAGCCCAAAGUAACCAAGAGGAAGUUUAAGCUUCUAGUUCAACAGAGAAAAAUUUAAGAAUAAAUUUUAAAUUUUUUUUACUACACACACAAGAUAAGUAUCUGAAGUGAUGCAUGCAUUAAUCAUCUUGCUUCAAUGAUCCUAAAUUAUACACAUGUAUUAUGACAUCACUUUGUGCCUUUUUUUCUCCUUUUUAUGUAUUCUUUGUGUCUUUCACAUCAUGCAUCUCCAUUCCAUUUAUUUCUUGUCCUUUUGUAUCUAUCCUCUGCCCUUGCAAUCUUCUUUCCACGAAAAUAAACAAAUAAAUAAAAUUUAAGAGAAAAAGAAAAGAGAGAAGGAAAAAUCAAUAUCAUCACGGAAGCUGUACUGUGGCACAGUGAGUCACACAGUGAAACCUUUAUCCACGUAUCUUUACUUGCGAGUGUUCAUUGCAAAGAGUCAUUUGUCUGGCUUAAGGCCUCUGGUUUCUGUUACACUAUCCAUGCUGGGCCCUCACUGGGACUCCUCUUGGAUAUCCUGUUGUUGCCCUGUGUUGUGGAAACCCUGCAGUUUUGGGUCUGAGGUCCCUUCAUGUGCUCUAGCAGAUCACAGAUGAGGUGGAUGUUGGGGUGGGCCAGCAGUUGGUUCUGGACCUGGGUAGUUGCAGGGUUGGUCAGUCUGCCAGCUCUCCCUUGUCCUCACCACCAGCUACUCACCUGUCAUGUGGCAGCAUGGUCAGGGGAAAGAGCCCUCUUCCCCGCCACCUCACACCUGCCACCCAUACCUGAGGCUGCUAGGAGAGCUGGCCCUGAGUUCAUAAGAGCAGGAGAGCUGGGCCUGCCCCACGUCAACUGCAGCACUUGGGAGAGUGGCCCACUAUGCUAGGCCUGUGCAUCACAGUGGAACUGACCCUGAAGGUGUAAGUGUGGAAGAUCCGACCCCGAGGACAUGAAAGCAGGCAAACUGGCCCCACCCAUUGCUCAUCUCUGCAAAGGUGAACUUGCCAGGACAAUGCAGGAGAGCUCAGCCUGGUGGUGAGGUUGAGAGAGAGCUGGUGAGUUGAUCAAUAGGAAGUUUAUCUUGCCUCUUGACAGGAACAAUCUCUCUUCUGAAACCAAAACUUCCAGGCUACCACAAUAUAAGUUUGGGGAAGCAAAAAGUAAAAUUUUCAUUAGCAGGUCUAUAGAGGUGAUGGUGAACAAUACUUUUCCCACUUCCACUUCUUGGUGCGUGGACCCACAAAUCAUGGCUAGUGGAGAAACAGUAGCAGGUAUUAGAUACUGAUUCAGAGCGUAUAUCACCUUCUAGAGAACCCUGCCUUCACCAUCCCGAUUACUGCCACUUUGUUGGCGACGGAACUCUGUUUAAAGGACAGACCACUAUUCUAUCAAAUCAGCUGCUUCAGGAUGUGGGGAACAUAACAAGGUGGCAUUGCUGGACAUAGUGCAUUGGAAGACAAGUGCAAAGCUACAUGGAACAGAAUAUUUAUGAUGACACAACUUUGUGCCCUGGCUGAACAAGGCGAUUGACUCCUGCAGCUUACUAAUGAUAAUUUAGUGGCACUUCAGUACCUGCUUUGGGAGCUUAGACAUCUCAAGGAGCCAUAGACGAUUCUGGUGGAAAGCAAUUAGAGAGACAGCCCAUAUUUGAACUCAGCUAUGAUGCUGAUGAGAAGAGGAUCAAACCAAGUUCUACAGUUACAGGCAUACUUGGGAAACUUCAUUUUUCCCUGACACAACCUCAUAGGUUUUGUCUAAAAGAAAGGAUAAACCGCAUCAUAAGGACGAGAGACAAAGCUAUAUGUCAUGGGUUUGGUUUACUUCUCCAGAGUCACCAAAAUAAUCUUCCUAAAUCAUAGUUUGGAUCAAUUUACCCUCGAUUUAGUCUUCGCUGUGGUUCAUCUUCUGCUUAUUAAAGGAAAGCUAAAGUGCUCUUCAUUUCCACAGCCCCACAGAAGAGGACUCUGCCUUCUACCUCUGCUUGACGUAUUUUUCACUCUUUCUUGAGAGAAGAAACAUAGAUAAUUUUAUUGCCAACUUACUGUGUACAAAGCGCAUUUGCAAACUUUAUUCUUUGGUUUUCCCAAUUCUAAUAAUGAAUGUAUUUAAGAUGAAGGUUUAGAGACCUUGGGUGAUGAAUGGACUUAGCAAGAAACACCCAGGAAUACAGAAGCCAAGUUUUCCUGAAUCCAAAAUUCAGACUCCUUUGAUUGUGCAUUUUAUUUGUACAGUAUAUGAUGUGCCACAUUCUUGGCUUUUAACAUGUAAGUGAUGUACGA